UGUACUGUGGCUUAGUUGGUUAAAGCGAUGGACUAGUGAUUCGGAGUCGUGGGUUUGAAUCCCACCAAAACAA
rnacentral:tRNA from 1 species